UACGGAGGGGGCUAGCGUUGUUCGGAAUUACUGGGCGUAAAGCGCGCGUAGGCGGACCUGCAAGUCGGGGGUGAAAGCCCGAGGCUCAACCUCGGAACUGCCUUCGAUACUGCGGGUCUCGAGUCCGGGAGAGGUGAGUGGAAUUCCUAGUGUAGAGGUGAAAUGCGCAGAUAUCAGGAAGAACACCAAUGGCGAAGGCAGCUCUCUGGGACGGUACUGACGCUGAGACGCGAAAGCGUGGGGAGCGAACAGG
rnacentral:rRNA from 1 species